rnacentral:rRNA from 1 species
CCUACGGGGGGCUGCAGUGGGGAAUAUUGGACAAUGGGCGAAAGCCUGAUCCAGCCAUGCCGCGUGUGUGAAGAAGGCCUUCGGGUUGUAAAGCACUUUCAGUGGGGAAGAAAGCCUUGGGGCUAAUACCCUCGAGGAAGGACAUCACCCACAGAAGAAGCACCGGCUAACUCCGUGCCAGCAGCCGCGGUAAAACGGAGGGUGCGAGCGUUAAUCGGAAUUACUGGGCGUAAAGCGCGCGUAGGCGGUCUGAUAAGCCGGUUGUGAAAGCCCCGGGCUCAACCUGGGAACGGCAUCCGGAACUGUCAGGCUAGAGUGCAGGAGAGGAAGGUAGAAUUCCCGGUGUAGCGGUGAAAUGCGUAGAGAUCGGGAGGAAUACCAGUGGCGAAGGCGGCCUUCUGGACUGACACUGACGCUGAGGUGCGAAAGCGUGGGUAGCAAACAGGAUUAGAUACCCGGGUAGUC